GGGGGCCCGCAAGCGGUGGAGCAUGUGGUUUAAUUCGAUGCAACGCGAAGAACCUUACCUACUCUUGACAUCCAGAGAACUUAGCAGAGAUGCUUUGGUGCCUUCGGGAACUCUGAGACAGGUGCUGCAUGGCUGUCGUCAGCUCGUGUUGUGAAAUGUUGGGUUAAGUCCCGCAACGAGCGCAACCCUUAUCCUUUGUUGCCAUCGGUUCGGCCGGGAACUCAAAGGAGACUGCCAGUGAUAAACUGGAGGAAGGUGGGGAUGACGUCAAGUCAUCAUGGCCCUUACGAGUAGGGCUACACACGUGCUACAAUGGCGUAUACAAAGAGAAGCGACCUCGCGAGAGCAAGCGGACCUCAUAAAGUACGUCGUAGUCCGGAUUGAAGUCUGCAACUCGACUCCAUGAAGUCGGAAUCGCUAGUAAUCGUAGAUCAGAAUGCUACGGUGAAUACGUUCCCGGGCCUUGUACACACC
rnacentral:rRNA from 1 species